GGUUUUGUGGCCCAAUGGAAAGAGCACAAGACUGGGAAUCAAAGGAUUCUGGGUUCUAAUCCCAGCUCUGCCA
rnacentral:tRNA from 1 species